rnacentral:misc_RNA from 1 species
GAUGAAGAACGUAGCGAAAUGCGAUAAGUAGUGUGAAUUGCAGAAUUCAGUGAAUCAUCGAAUCUUUGAACGCACAUUGCGCCCCUUGGUAUUCCAUGGGGCAUGCCUGUUCGAGCGUCAUUUGUACCUUCAAGCUUUGCUUGGUGUUGGGUGUUUGUCUCGCCUCUGCGUGUAGACUCGCCUUAAAACAAUUGGCAGCCGGCGUAUUGAUUUCGGAGCGCAGUACAUCUCGCGCUUUGCACUCAUAACGACGACGUCCAAAAGUACAUUUUUACACUCUUGACCUCGGAUCAGGUAGGGAUACCCGCUGAACUUAAGCAUAUCAAUAAGCGGAGGA